UACGAAGGGGGCUAGCGUUGCUCGGAAUCACUGGGCGUAAAGCGCACGUAGGCGGAUUGUUAAGUCAGGGGUGAAAUCCUGGAGCUCAACUCCAGAACUGCCUUUGAUACUGGCGAUCUCGAGUCCGGGAGAGGUGAGUGGAACUGCGAGUGUAGAGGUGAAAUUCGUAGAUAUUCGCAAGAACACCAGUGGCGAAGGCGGCUCACUGGCCCGGUACUGACGCUGAGGUGCGAAAGCGUGGGGAGACAAGCAGUAGUAA
rnacentral:rRNA from 1 species